UACGCGAGGAACCUUACCUGGGCUUAAAUGAGGAGUGACGAGCUGGCGAAAGUUGGUUUUCUUCGGACACUCUUCAAGGUGCUGCAUGGUUGUCGUCAGCUCGUGCCGUGAGGUGUCGGGUUAAGUCCCAUAACGAGCGCAACCCUUACUGUUAGUUGCCAGCGGGUAAUGCCGGGAACUCUAGCGGGACUGCCACCGUAAGGUGAGAGGAAGGUGGGGAUGACGUCAAAUCAGCACGGCCCUUAUGUCCAGGGCUACACACGUGUUACAAUGGCCGGUACAAAGGGCAGCUACACCGCGAGGUGAUGCUAAUCUCGAAAGCCGGUCUCAGUUCGGAUCGAAGUCUGCAACCCGACUUCGUGAAGUUGGAUUCGCUAGUAAUCGCGCAUCAGCCAUGGCGCGGUGAAUACGUUCCCGGGCCUU
rnacentral:rRNA from 1 species